rnacentral:piRNA from 1 species
UGCUAUCUCUAUUCACUUUGCCCUUAUGCCU